UACGAAGGGGGCUAGCGUUGCUCGGAAUUACUGGGCGUAAAGCGCACGUAGGCGGCUUUCUAAGUCGGAGGUGAAAUCCUGGAGCUCAACUCCAGAACUGCCUUCGAUACUGGAGAGCUUGAGUCCGGGAGAGGUGAGUGGAGCUGCGAGUGUAGAGGUGAAAUUCGUAGAUAUUCGCAAGAACACCAGUGGCGAAGGCGGCUCACUGGCCCGGUACUGACGCUGAGGUGCGAAAGCGUGGGGAGCAAACAGG
rnacentral:rRNA from 1 species